rnacentral:rRNA from 1 species
UACGUAGGGCGCAAGCGUUAUCCGGAAUUAUUGGGCGUAAAGAGCUCGUAGGCGGUUUGUCGCGUCUGCCGUGAAAGUCCGGGGCUCAACUCCGGAUCUGCGGUGGGUACGGGCAGACUAGAGUGAUGUAGGGGAGACUGGAAUUCCUGGUGGAGCGGUGAAAUGCGCAGAUAUCAGGAGGAACACCCGUAGCGAAGGCGGCACUCUGGGCCGAUACUGACACUGAGGAGCGAAAGCGUGGGGAGCGAACAGG